rnacentral:lncRNA from 1 species
UCAUUUCAACUAAAUAAAAUAAUCUCAUUUCACUCAAAUAAUCAACAUGGCUUAUGAAUUUAUUAAAAACUUGGCUCGUGCCAAAACUCAUUCUCGGGGAUACCUUGAUCAGAGGCAUCCAACCGAGUCCGCCAAGGCUGUUAAAGAAAAGACAUACAUCCAUAAAUCAUAUUUGUACAUUUUAAAACAUAGCCGUUCCUUGGCGUUGGCUGAGUUCACCCUCACGUGGUGGUUUAGCAUGUAGUGAACUCUAAAGCUUUACCUCAGG